rnacentral:rRNA from 1 species
GUGGGGAAUCUUGCGCAAUGGGCGAAAGCCUGACGCAGCCAUGCCGCGUGAAUGAUGAAGGUCUUAGGAUUGUAAAAUUCUUUCACCGGGGACGAUAAUGACGGUACCCGGAGAAGAAGCCCCGGCUAACUUCGUGCCAGCAGCCGCGGUAGUACGAAGGGGGCUAGCGUUGCUCGGAAUUACUGGGCGUAAAGGGCGCGUAGGCGGACAGUUUAGUCAGAGGUGAAAGCCCAGGGCUCAACCUUGGAAUUGCCUUUGAUACUGGCUGUCUUGAGUACGGGAGAGGUGAGUGGAACUCCGAGUGUAGAGGUGAAAUUCGUAGAUAUUCGGAAGAACACCAGUGGCGAAGGCGACUCACUGGCCCGUUACUGACGCUGAGGCGCGAAAGCGUGGGGAGCAAACAGGAUUAGAUACCCGUGUAGUCC